rnacentral:lncRNA from 1 species
GACUAUGACGAUGACGACGACAGUGACAACUAUGAUGAGGAUGAUAUAUGAAUAUAUAUUUACUUAAAUACCCUUGAGGUAUGGCUAAAUGUCAAAACCAUCCACAAACAUGAGAAACUGGAGGCAAUAGUCCUUUCGUUUGCAGAAUGUUCGAUAGAGCAACAGGCUGAUGUGGAACCGUUCGUUUUAAUUCGACAAAAAUAUAAAAUAAAUUAGGAUUACGACGCGGUUAAAAGAUUACAAAUACGUCAAUCUUUUAUUAAAAGAUCAUAAGGACCCACAAUAUAUAAAGGACUGCGAUACAAUUAUUUUUUACGGUGAGUGGUCUAAUGGUUAUAAUUCCAACUUUUUAUGGUUAAAUUUGUAAUUUUAUGGAUAACUUCGUCAGCUCAUUUGAUGUCUAAGAUGAGCUUGGACAUGUUUUCGUUCCUAUUAAGAGUGAUGCGCCAUUUUCUUUAAUAGUUUAUAAUAUUAAUUAUUGGCGAUGGUGUGGUUUCUUUCUUUCUUUUAUCUUUUUUUUUUUCAAUUUAGUAUUGACGUGUUGAGUUUCGAUUGUGUGACUUGUUGGGAAAAUAUGCUCUUUAAAAGUAUAUGUGUUUAUUUAAUUGUAAUAAAUAAAUUUUUUGAUUAAUAAAAUAUAUGAGGUAUUUUAUUCAAAUAUCUUAAUUGCAUUAAUAUUUGUAUUAAAGUCCAUUUAAUCAUAUUAUAUGUAUUUAUGUGAUCACCAUGUGGAUUCACAGAAAACAUAAAUACAAGUUAUCUUAUGAUUAAAUAAAUUCAGUUCGCAGUUGAUAAAUAAAGUUGAGCACUUUAUUUAGGUAUAGACUGUAAUAAAUUCAUUGAAUGAUUUGUCUUAAUCAUGUAUGAAUUUAUCAAUGUAGUACGACUACAUUGAACAGGAUCACAUAUAAGAUUUAAUUAACUUUGUAAUAACUGUCAGACUUAUUAAAUCUCAUAGGUAUUGAUUUUACUGUAAUCUUAAUCUUGAGUUAAUUAUGAUUUCAUUAUUGUAAUUGUUAUUCCAUUUGAGUUACCAAUGGGCACGACACAUCCUUGUGGUCAAGAUUACCCGGUAUCUUGGUGGGAGCAAUUAUGAGUAUUGGAGUUAUGGAUUAACAAUAAAGAAUUUGUACAACACAUCUCUUGAUGGGUUUUCGGCACUUAAUCAUAGAAUUCUCUGGCCAGAGUGUGUCAACAUAUUUAGUAUGUUGAAAAUGAUCAUUAGAGAAAACUAGUAAGGAUCAAAGAAUAAGGUGUUAUUAAAUUGAUUGGACAGUUGAGAGGAUUGUGCAGUAAAGAAAUCAAUGUGGCUUGGGACGAAUUAUUAUUCGAGCAUACAAUUAUGGAAGUCAGUUCCAAUCUUUUAGUGGAGUAGAUUUGGAAUUAAAUAAUUAGGCUAGUUUAAUUACAGGCCUAAUUAUUAUAGCCACUGUUGUAUGUUCCCAAAUGAUCACCGGGUUAGCUCAUUUAAUUGACUGCACCACUACUGGACUAAUAAGCAAGAUAACUAGUUAUUUGGGUCAAAAGCCUAAAUAUAUCAUUUAGUGGGAGGCUCCAUUUAAUUAACUUAUGUGUAAGGGGCCUUAUGUUAUUUUACAUGGUGGGUCCCCUAUUAAAUGAAAAGUAACGUGAGUUUUAUUUUUGUCAUUAUUUGGAGCCUAGGGUUUUCACUAAAGGGAGAUAUAUAAGGCUUAUUUUCUCAAAAGAAAAAGAGUGAAACCACUUUAUACAGAUCAGAGAAUAAGAUUUUUCUCUCUAUUGUUGAGAGAAAAAUUUUCUCGUGCUAGUUGCUUUGGUAGUGAUAAAGGCGCCCACACGUCAAGUGCAGAUCGAACUUGAGUCAUAACCUAGAAGAUCAUUGGUGACAGUUCGUGAUCUAACAAGCGUGGUGGUGACGGAUCGUGAUCUAACAGGAGUGGUGGUGGCGGCGGAUCGUGAUCUAGGAGCCUAAAUCACUUCAGCGGAAAAAAGCCAACUCGGAUUUUCAAGGUACGAUUUCUAGAAUACAAAUUCUUAUAUAGUAUAUGAGAGUGGUCUUAAAAGGUUUUAUAAAAAUUUAAAAAACCUGAUUUUUCCCCAACAUGACUAAACUAAACACAUUAAAACUUAAAUCUACUAUAUUAAGGUCUCGUUUGAGAUUGAUGUUGAAACUACAUAAACUACUUAUUUUAUAAUUUGUAACAAAAAUAAUGUUUGAUAAACUUUAUAAAAACUGCUUAUUUCAUUAUUUUUUUCCAUUUUGAUAGAAACUUUUACAGGUAGAGGGUUUCAUUUCAUAAGUAGCUUAUUAAAUAAGCUAUCAUACAUUUUUAAAGUUCCUAUUAUAAUCUUAAUAUUUUUUUAAAAAAUAAUUGUCUUAUUUUUCUAUACACAAUAAUAUUAAGUCAUUAGAUAUCAUAUUACCACCACAAUCAAAUUACCGCCACAACUACUGCAUAUUCUCUCUAGUAUCAAAGUUCUGAUCUAAUAAGUUCAUAUUUUUUAUAUUUCACUUGUAUUUUCGAUUAUAACAUUAAAAAAGGUUU